CGAUGAUCUCCCGCUUGCGGGGGUGAUUAGUGGCGAACGGGUGAGUAAUACGUGAGUAACCUGCCCUUGACUCUGGGAUAAGCCUGGGAAACCGGGUCUAAUACUGGAUACUACCUUUCACCGCAUGGUGGGGGGUGGAAAGGGUUUUACUGGUUUUGGAUGGGCUCACGGCCUAUCAGCUUGUUGGUGGGGUAAUGGCUCACCAAGGCGACGACGGGUAGCCGGCCUGAGAGGGUGACCGGCCACACUGGGACUGAGACACGGCCCAGACUCCUACGGGAGGCAGCAGUGGGGAAUAUUGCACAAUGGGCGGAAGCCUGAUGCAGCGACGCCGCGUGAGGGAUGACGGCCUUCGGGUUGUAAACCUCUUUCAGCAGGGAAGAAGCCACAAGUGACGGUACCUGCAGAAGAAGCGCCGGCUAACUACGUGCCAGCAGCCGCGGUAAUACGUAGGGCGCAAGCGUUGUCCGGAAUUAUUGGGCGUAAAGAGCUCGUAGGCGGUUUGUCGCGUCUGCUGUGAAAGCCCGGGGCUCAACCCCGGGUCUGCAGUGGGUACGGGCAGACUAGAGUGCAGUAGGGGAGACUGGAAUUCCUGGUGUAGCGGUGAAAUGCGCAGAUAUCAGGAGGAACACCGAUGGCGAAGGCAGGUCUCUGGGCUGUUACUGACGCUGAGGAGCGAAAGCAUGGGGAGCGAACAGGAUUAGAUACCCUGGUAGUCCAUGCCGUAAACGUUGGGCACUA
rnacentral:rRNA from 1 species